rnacentral:rRNA from 1 species
UACAGGGGGUGCAAACGUUCGCUCGGAAUUAUUGGGCGUAAAGCGCGCGUAGGCGGCUACUUAAGUCGGAUGUGAAAGCCCCUGGCUCAACUGGGGAAGUGCACCCGAAACUGAGUGGCUUGAGUACUAAAGAGGGUCGCGGAAUUCCCGGUGUAGAGGUGAAAUUCGUAGAUAUCGGGAGGAACACCAGUGGCGAAGGCGGCCGCCUGGGCCAGUCCGUGACGCUGAGCCGCGAAAGCGUGGGGAGCGAGUCCGG